AUUUAGAUUGUUAAUCUUUUGCUAUUAUAAGCAACACCACAAUGAAUAGUCUCUGGUGUGCAAUAAUAUUCGUGUGUAUGUGAGACACUAUGUAGAAAUGGAAUUGUGGAGUGAGGGGUAUGGACACUGUAAUUUUUAUAUCUGUUAUCAGAUAAUUCUCCAGGAGUUUCUAUUAAUUUAUAUUUCUCUAUCCAGCUCUCAUUUUAGAUUCUGGAGAUUGUCAAUGGAAUCUGUUCCAUUGGAGGUCAUAGGUGAGGAAAUAGGAUGCAAGAUUGAACAAGGAAAGAUGGAUAUUUGUGUUUUUAUAUCAGCCUCAUAAAAUGAGAUUACUAAAUAGUUUACCAAAUAUUUUGGCAAAAUAGACUGACUGUCAAGCAGUCCUCUCUGCUAGGAAGCCUGCCACAUGGAGUAACGAGAAGAUUGGACUUUGCGAUAAGAAUCUGUUUCUAGUCUGACACUGCCAGUGCUCACUGUGGGAUCUUGAUUAAGCAAUCAGCCUUUCUUUGAGCUCAGUUUUCUUGUUUGUCAAAUGAGUAUUUUGAGUGAUUGAUCUCUGAUGAAUCUUUGAAUCCAAAAUUAUUUAGUUCUAUGAAACUGCCUUCACUUAUUACAAUAAAAGUUCUCAGAGAGGAAUAGCUAUAUAAUUUGCAAGGCCUCAUACAAGAUAAAUGUAGAGCCCCCUAUUCAAAGAUUAUUAAGAAUGUUAAGAUAUCUACAAAGGAGCAUUAAGCCAAGUGUGGGCCCUUGUAAGUGCAGGGACCCUGUGUACCUGUGCAUAAGCUUAUGGAACUGGUCCUGCUCCUUUAAAGACCCUGCCUCUAAAUCAAUGGCUUAUUUCUGCUUAAGCUUUUGGUGGCAAUUUGACUAAGACAUGUGCUUGAGACCUCACCCCCAGCCCUGGUCAUUCUUUUCUGGAAAAAGUUGCUUUGGUCCAUAGCCCCUGAUCAAAGAAGCUACUCUAAACCUUAUCUUGUGCAAUGGGCACCUGAUGAUUGGACCAGAUGUAGACACCUGACUCAAAGGCAGCCAGUUCAUAGACUGGUGAGCUUGUAGGUGGC
rnacentral:lncRNA from 1 species